UGCGUUACCCAAUCAUCUUCGACGGAGUUAUUGGCAUCAUUUAAUCUCAUUCAUGCGGUGAAAGUCUCAGACGUUUCAUUCGUUGUCGUUCAAUAGAAUUGAAGGUCAACCUUGAAUUCACUCACUUACCGUUUAUCUUCUUUGCAAUCAAUGGGAUUAAACCCACACAAUAUAUCUUUCCGGAAAAUCCAUUAUAAUUCCAAUUCAGUCGAAUUAUAAACCGCACAAAGAAUAUGUUCAAUUGAUCCAUUAUAAUAUCAGUUCUCUUUUUUUUGGUGAUUAGGGAUUCUCCGAUUCGGCAGCAUGCAAGUAAUAUCAGGUACCCUUCUUUAGGUACCAUGAUUAUCAAUUUCUCCACCCUCUCUCAACUGGGUUUUUUUUAUGGUAAUUUCAGGAUCAUGAUUACAUUCAUUUUAUAUACCCGGGUUCUUUAAAGAUUAUUAGUUUAAUUCAUGGAUUUCUAACCAAAUUCUUAGUAGUUAUGUUUUCUUUGCUGCAAACAAUCCUUAAAAACAUGGUUGGUACAAUCAUCAACCGGUUUGGUUUGUAUUUUGUAAUAUGAUUUGUACAAGGUGUUGAGGUGAUAUGAAGCUCUUAUAAGCUUUUAAGCCUUUGUAACAUUUCUGAGGUUUUCGUUCCUGUUAUUCAUAUCUACAAAAAUUCGUAAUCUGGACAGCGGCACAUCUAUGGUCAAACACAAGUGUAAUAAUAGAUUGUGGAAGUGAAUAUCUAAAACCCAUUCAUUUGUUGUUUAUGGCUUCUUUCACUAAUUGUAUUUUGAUUGUGAUUCUUCCGCUUUUCAUGGUUGUUUAUGCUUAAGUCUACUCCUUACCGAUCAAAAAAAAUGCAUCUACUUUUUCUUACCGAUCAAAAAAAUGCAUCUAGCUACUUUUUCGAACGGUAAAAUGGGCAACGGUUCGUGAUAAAUCAAGACAGAAUACAGAGAUCAUCAAGAAACGCAGCCGUUAAAGUUAAUAGAUUAUCAAGACAAAGAGAGUUCACAUCUGCCCUAUCCAAGGUGCACCAAUCAUGCACGGGUUAGUGCAUCUUGGAUGGUGGCCGAUGUAGAGGUAGGAAGAACAGGUCCCCAUACUCCAAUUACCCAAACUAAAUUUGCGACUAGCUGGAAAUAAUUCAAACAAUCAGGAGACGGUAGUGCAUAUUUGGUCAAAGGUGAAGCGGUUAGUUGAUUCAAUCCCAAUAUAUUGUGAAAUUCAACACCUGCAACGGGUUUUGUGCAUUAGUAAAAGUCGUCGAUAAUGUGGGUUUCUUUUACAUCCCAAAAACAUCAGAUUUGGAAGAUGAGAAGAGAGUUUGUAUUCUCUAGGAAAAUUGCAUUUGAGCGUUGACUAACCUAAUUUCCGUUCGUGAUCAAAUGGCCUUUUUUUGGCGGUGCAUAAUUGUUUACUCUUUGGACGUCUACGAUGUGUCUAUUCCCAGUUUCAAGACUUGGACUCGAAACUGCAAUACCUAUCUUUCCAGUUUGAAGACAUGGAUUCGAUACGUAAGUUAUGUUAUGUACAAACUAAUUAACAAUCGAUUCUAAACCCACACCAUUGCCAUCAGCUAUGUUACUCGGCACUAAAGUUUGGUAACAAUUGCAAGUUUCUUUUACUUAGUUUGGGCGGAAAAAAAAAGUGCAUAAGUUUUGAUUUUUUUUUAAGAAUCGGUAAAUGAUCAAUGGUCAUAUCUUGAUUAGUUUCUCGACAUGUUUCGCCAUAAAGUUAUAAAUCGGUCAUUAAAUGUCGGUAAUUUUUGUUUUUACUGGAUAAAA